rnacentral:rRNA from 1 species
UCCGUAGGCGGGUAAUUAAGUCAGAGGUGAAAUCCCACAGCUUAACUGUGGAACUGCCUUAGAUACUGGUUAUCUUGAGUUUUAGUGAAGUAGAUAGAAUGUGUAGUGUAGCGGUGAAAUGCAUAGAUAUUACACAGAAUACCGAUUGCGAAGGCAGUCUACUAACUAACAACUGACGCUAAUGGACGAAAGCGUGGGGAGCGAACAGGAUUAGAAACCCUGGUAGUCC